AACUUGAGCCUGAGGUCCCCUCCCCCACACUCCUAUGUGAUUCAGGACCACAGAGCUGUUUGCAAAUUUCUCCUGUUUUCCUUCUUCAUGAGAGAGAGAAGUUACAUGUGAGCUUCAGCCCUGGAAAAGGGGCUACUCUAGAGCCGGGGCCCACUGGCAUCUACCUGUAUGAUUUGGAACAAAAUGCACGGUUCAUCUGUGAGAUAAGAGAUGGAAAGACAGAGCGAAGAGGACAUCUGGGAGGGAAAGGAGAUGCUCCAAAGCAGGUUGAACCCACAUCCAUCUCGGUUCAGGAUCCUCAGACUUCACAGUGCGGAUACCCAGGUAUGUACACACUGUGCAUACUCACUCACACACUCAGCCCUUUUGUCUCUCCUGACAAAGUUCACUUAGUUCAGUCCUUCCUGGAUUCUACCAGAUGGGAAGAGGAAAAUCCAAGUAAGUCUCUUCAUCUGUGAAAUGCACGAUUAGUACCGACCCUGCCUACUUCUCAAAGUUUUUCGAAGGUCACAUGAGGAUGAGUGUGAUUAAAUUUUGCAGGUAUUUUAAAAUUGCAGUCCAAAUUAAC
rnacentral:lncRNA from 10 species